GGAAGGACGCAUUUAUUAGAAUAAAACCAAUCGGGCUUGCCCGCUUUUUGGUGAAUCUGAAUAACUAUGCCGAUCGCACAGUCCUCGUACUGGCGACGUAUCUUUCAAAUGUCUGCCUUAUCAACUUUCGAUGGUAGUUUACACGGCUACCAUGGUUUUCACGGGUAACGGAGAAUUAGGGUUCGACUCCGGAGAGGGAGCCUGAGAAACGGCUACCACAUCCAAGGAAGGCAGCAGGCACGCAAAUUACCCACUCCCGGCACGGGGAGGUAGUGACGAAAAAUAACGAGACGGUUCUCUAAGAGGCCCGUCAUCGAAAUGGGUACAAUUUAAAUCCUUUAACGAGGAUCUAUUGGAGGGCAAGUCUGGUGCCAGCAGCCGCGGUAAUUCCAGCUCCAAAAGCGUAUAUUAAAGUUGUUGCGGUUAAAAAGCUCGUAGUUGGAUCUGCGCCUUAGGUUGGUGGUCCCCCAAAAGGGUGGUACUGCCGUACCUGGGCUAUUGGUCUGGUUUUCCCUUGGUGCUCUUAACCGGGUGCUCUGGGUGACUGGAACGUUUACUUUGAAAAAAUUAGAGUGCUCAAGGCAGGCAGUUUGCCUGAAUAGUGGUGCAUGGAAUAAUAGAAUAGGACUUCGGUUCUAUUUUGUUGGUUUUCGGAACUCGAGGUAAUGAUUAAGAGGGACAGACGGGGGCAUUCGUAUUGCGACGUUAGAGGUGAAAUUCUUGGAUCGUCGCAAGACGCACAACUGCGAAAGCAUUUGCCAAGAAUGUUUCAUUAAUCAAGAACGAAAGUUAGAGGUUCGAAGGCGAUCAGAUACCGCCCUAGUUCUAACCGUAAACGAUGCCAGCUAGCGAUCCGCGGGAGUUAAAUUUAUGACUUCGCGGGCAGCUUCCGGGAAACCAAAGCUUUUGGGUUCCGGGGGAAGUAUGGUUGCAAAUCUGAAACUUAAAGGAAUUGACGGAAGGGCACCACCAGGAGUGGAGCCUGCGGCUUAAUUUGACUCAACGCGGGGAAACUCACCCGGCCCGGACACCGUAAGGAUUGACAGAUUGAGAGCUCUUUCUUGAUUCGGUGGUUGGUGGUGCAUGGCCGUUCUUAGUUGGUGGAGCGAUUUGUCUGGUUAAUUCCGAUAACGAACGAGACUCUAGCCUACUAAACUAGGCAAUGAAUUCGGUUUGUUCAUUGAACUUCUUAGAGGGACAGAGGGUGUCUAGCCCUACGAGAUUGAGCAAUAACAGGUCUGUGAUGCCCUUAGAUGUUCGGGGCUGCACGCGCGCUACACUGAAGGAAUCAACGUGCUUGAAAACCUUGUCCGGAAGGACUGGGUAACCCGUUGAAACUCCUUCGUGCUUGGGAUAGGGACUUGCAAUUAUUUCCCUUGAACGAGGAAUUCCUAGUAAGUGUGGGUCAUCAUCUCGCGUUGAUUACGUCCCUGCCCUUUGUACACACCGCCCGUCGCUACUACC
rnacentral:rRNA from 1 species